GAUGAACGCUGGCGGCGUGCCUAAUACAUGCAAGUCGAGCGAACGGACGAGAAGCUUGCUUCUCUGAUGUUAGCGGCGGACGGGCGAGUAACACGUGGAUAACCUACCUAUAAGACUGGGAUAACUUCGGGAAACCGGAGCUAAUACCGGAUAAUAUUUUGAACCGCAUGGUUCAAAAGUGAAAGACGGUCUUGCUGUCACUUAUAGAUGGAUCCGCGCUGCAUUAGCUAGUUGGUAAGGUAACGGCUUACCAAGGCAACGAUGCAUAGCCGACCUGAGAGGGUGAUCGGCCACACUGGAACUGGGACACGGUCCAGACUCCUACGGGAGGCAGCAGUAGGGAAUCUUCCGCAAUGGGCGAAAGCCUGACGGAGCAACGCCGCGUGAGUGAUGAAGGUCUUCGGAUCGUAAAACUCUGUUAUUAGGGAAGAACAUAUGUGUAAGUAACUGUGCACAUCUUGACGGUACCUAAUCAGAAAGCCACGGCUAACUACGUG
rnacentral:rRNA from 1 species